CUGUGUCUUAGAGAGCCUCUGUAUAUAUAUGUAUUUAUCUCUCUAUGUUUAUUUAUCUAUAUAUCUUUGUAUAUAUUUCUUUUUUUAAUGUGCACAUAUAGGUAGAAAUUUGUUUUGAAUGUGCACAUGUUAGCAGAAAUUUCUCUCCCUCCCUCUCUUUAUUUCUCUCUGAAUGCUCUCCAUCUUUAUUUUUAUUUCUAUGACUUUUUCCAUUUUUUAUUUGAGUUUUUUUUUCUGUCAUGAAGAUACCACACUUCAUGUAUGUGUGGUAGGAGUUCGUUUGUGCUGAAAUACCUUUUCACCAAUUCAAGAUUGGUUAUCCUUAUGUCCCGAAACAAAUCAACACUGUUGAUUACGGCAUUUUUGUGAUCAAGUUUAUGAAACUUUGGAGGUUUGGAGCGAAACUUCUUGAUGAUUUUUCUCAGGAUGAUAUUCGAAAUAUUUGAGGACAAAUUGUUAAUGAUUUGUUGUUUAGCAAACACAAUACUGCUAAGACAAGCAUAGUCAAGAACUACUAUGGUCUGGAUGAUUUUUCAAGAUCUGUGCAUCCGUAGAACUAUAGAUGAAAGAUGGUUCAAAUACAUAUUUUUUUAGUUGCGUCACAUAUCAUAUGCUACAUUUUUUUUGUAAAGGGGGAAGAAAGGAAAAACAGUUGUGGAGUCAAAAUUUUUAGUUUGACUGUUACACAAAUCACUUCUUGUAUGCUUCAUUACAAUGUAAUAGGAAUGUAACAUCAUUUUGUUGAAUGCUCUUUUUCAUCUAUU